GAUGAACGCUGGCGGCGUGCAUAACACAUUCAAGUCGAACGGUGACGGGGCUUCGGCCCCUGAUCAGUGGCGGACGGGUGAGUAACGCGUGAGCAAUCUGCCUCUGUGUGCGGGAUAACAGCCGGAAACAGCUGCUAAUACCGCAUAACGUAUACGGAUCGCAUGUUCUGUAUACCAAAGGUUUACUGCACAGAGAUGAGCUUGCGUCUGAUUAGAUAGUUGGUGAGGUAACGGCCCACCAAGUCUGCGAUCAGUAGCCGGACUGAGAGGUUGAACGGCCACAUUGGGACUGAGACACGGCCCAGACUCCUACGGGAGGCAGCAGUGAGGAAUAUUGGACAAUGGGGGCAACCCUGAUCCAGCGAUGCCGCGUGAGGGAAGAAGGUUUUCGGAUUGUAAACCUCUGUGGACAGGGACGAUAAUGACGGUACCUGUCUAGAAAGCCACGGCUAACUACGUGCCAGCAGCCGCGG
rnacentral:rRNA from 1 species